rfam:Triticum aestivum genome assembly, contig: Triticum_aestivum_CS42_TGACv1_scaffold_557076_7AL
GUCCUACUCCCUUCAUCCGAAAAAACUUGUCCUUAAAUUGAUGUAUCUAGUAUCAAAUUAGUGCUAAAUACAUCCAUUUGAGGAACAAGCUUGGAACAAGCUUUUUUGGACGAAGGGAGUACUGU